AACAACAGCAACAAUUUCCCUUCUGUCUCUAACAUUCAGGAAAUUCCAGUGUGGUGCCAGCGAGCUCCUUGACCACUCUCCGCCUUCAACAAUGAUUGGGAAUAAAUUGUUUUCCAUUGAAAGCAAUUGAUCCAGUGCCCCAAGACCACAUUUGGGAACUGCUUGUUCAGGGCAUUCCUCAACCAGGAGUUUCCUUGUGGAGCCAUUUAGACACCAAGGUGAGAGGUUGAGCCAGAGAAGUGACUUAGAGUUGGUGCCAUGUUUUCUACACUGAGCUAUCGUGAUAACAACACAUGGUGCCUUUCUGGCACGUUGGGUACAUAGUUCAUACUUCACCCUCAACACGGUCACGAGAGGUUGUUAGAAAAGGAGCUGUCUCCCCCCUCCCCAGUUAGCCAAUGAGAAGACAGAGUUUGGGGGAGGCUCACAGAGCAAGUUCUUGAACUCCAUUUCUUCAGUUCCUAAUUUGCUGACUUUCCACGUGACUCUGGGCAGCCUAACAGACACUCCUCCUCUGUAUGAUGCCCUCAGAGACUUCCCAUUCCUGGAAUUGGUGCUUAGGGAAUGAUCUAGAUCAAGCCACUUAAAGAUGGAGACGUUAGAUGGCACAGCUUAUACAAGGCCUUUCUCAGCAGAGUUCAUACCCUUUUGAUAGUUUGGAUAAUUAAUGGACUUCUAGAAGCCCGUAUUAUCUCAGACUCACAUAGCUUCUUUUGUACCCUGUCACUCACAACCGUCCUUUUCUUGUUGAGGUCCUUAGCACAGAUGCUCAAAACCAACAGCUCUCGCUCCACCUUAGCUAUUCGGAGUCUCUACCUUGGAAUGGGAAAUCUGUGUCAUCGUGAGCCCCUUAGCUUCACCUCCAACCGCCGUUGGCUUGUUGCCUUCUCUAAACCUGCAGAGAGGAAUUCCUUCUCUGGAUACACCUGCUGCUGGCAGGAGCUAAAGGUUUGAUUCUCUUUAUGAGUAUGAUCCGCCAAUCCGUAAUCAAGGGUUAAUUUCACAGCUCACUGCUUCAUCUAGCAUAAUAUCCAUUCAGACUAAUUAAAUCUGUCUAAUAAUGUGAGUGUCUUUGUCUUUGUUCUUCCCCUUCUUUGUUUUACACCCUUCACAUCUCAUCUCCAGAACCACACGCCAUCACACUCUACUUGACAAGCAGAAUCCAUCCCUAAAAUUAAAACAUUCCUGACCUAUCUGCAAUGACAAGGCAGGCGAGCUUCACGGCGCUCCGGCCCAUGAAGGGAACUGACACAUUUGUUUUUAAUUUCAAAAGAGUAGAAAGUGAAGAUCUGACCCCGUCAAUCAAGCCCUGUGACAAGUUUAAUCAUUGGUGCCCCACAAAAAUCACGGCUAAAUAGGAAUGCAAAUACUGUAUCACAGGGCUCUUAUAAAUGCUAAUCAAGGAGAAGUAAUCAAGUGACAAUUUCACUGAUCUCUUUUCUGAAGAAGUCACUCAAUGCUCUGUCUCUGGGCCACAAAGAGAAGAGAACAGGACAAAAGGGAUGGAUGAGGUCCCCCCCCAACCUUCCUUUUAUUUUCCUUCCAGGACAUUUCUUUUUAAAGAGAGAAUUCGUUCUUUUGAUCCAUUGUUGAACUUUAAAGCGAGGAACUCGCGCAGCUAUAUGUCAAGUGUACUUUAUUAUUGGUACCCUGGCCGGGGAGAGAACGCACCGAAACUUCCGCUAAAAUAAAAAUCAUCAUUUGUCUUUGUCAUUAAUCUGUUCUCAAAUUCUCUUAUAUCUUAAAAGUGACUGACCUUCGCUGUGAGAGGGGAAGAAAAAAAAAGUUUUACAAGUAGUCGAAAAUCUGAAAAUUAUGAUCACGGUAACUCAAAAAAAAAAAAAAAAGAAGAAGAAGAAGAAGAAGAAGAAGAAAAAUCCCUUUUAAAAACUUAAUCCAGGGUUGAUGAAGAAUUUAUAAUCACCAAGAAGUCCUGAGCCAGGCAUCUCUCCCCUCAGUGUGGAGGCUUCACUCUGCUCAGGGAGAGAAAUCAGAAAUUGGGGAGAUAUUUUUCAUGUACGCUUUUACACAGGACCUGAGAGCUUUGUGUGUUACCAAGCUUAGAA